rnacentral:misc_RNA from 1 species
CAAGUUCCUUCGCAAAUACGUUAUGAGUUGGUAAUAUGUCUUGGCAACCACUUAUGUUUGCUUCGGUUCCCUGCAGGUCACCCUUGGGUUCGGGAUGAUGGGGUGGCUCCAGAUAAGCCUCUAGGUUCUGCAGUUUUAAGUAGCUUGAAGCAGUUUUCUGCAAUGAACAAGCUUAAGAAAAUGGCUCUUAGGAUUAUUGCUGAGAAUCUGUCCGAAGAAGAAAUUGCUGGGUUAACAGAAAUGUUUAAGACGAUAGACACAGAUGGUAGUGGUCAAAUUACUUUCGGAGAACUCAAAGUGGGACUCAGAACCUUUGGUGCUAAUCUCAAUGAGUCUGAAAUCUAUGAUCUAAUGCAGGCGGCUGAUAUUGAUAACAGUGGGACAAUAGAUUAUGGGGAGUUCAUAGCUGCCACAGUGCAUCUAAACAAAGUUGAAAGAGAAGAUCACCUAUUUGCAGCUUUCUCAUACUUUGACAGAGAUGGAAGUGGCUUUAUCACUCUAGAUGACCUGCAACAAGCUUGUUUUGAAUUCGGCAUGGACGACUUUCACUUGGAAGAAAUGAUGAGAGAAGUUGAUCAGGAUAAUGAUGGUCGGAUAGACUACAAUGAGUUUGUGGACAUGAUGCAAAAAGGGAAUACUGAAAUGAGUAAGAAUGAUAUUCAUCAGGGUAGAAGUUUUAGCUUUGGUUUUAGGGAGGCACUACAAGUUUGUUGAUUUAAGUAGUGAGUUUUUCUCUCUCUUUUUCCUUUUUU